rnacentral:lncRNA from 1 species
CCAUUGGGCCACUAAACGCCUACACAACUAAGGUUUAUUUUGGUAUUGAGGUCUAUCUGACGCUAUUAGAUAAAAUAGAGUUGGGAUAAAAGCAUAUAGAGAUAUACUUCUAGGUUCUCCGGUGAGACCACAGAAAAUAUAUCAUAGCCGACUCAUCGUGAUAUGCAUAAUGUAAUAUUAUGUACUGAAAUAAACAGAGUAUUUUUCCAUUAUACUUUUUCAUCUUAUGUAACACAAUCUUUCCACAAUUCCAAAUGAAGCCUAACUAGGAGUGAAAGAUAUGGAAAAGCUGUUGGAACUAAAUAAGACUCUGUCUGAGAUUACGAAGAAAUUAUGGUAUGUACAUUGAGAAAGUACGAAAAAAGUCGUGAGCCGAUUAUAAUAUAUUUCCUGCAAUUCCAUCGAAAACAGAGAAAAAUAUUUUUGUAUACUUUUGUUGUAACAUUGUUUUGUCUAUUGGCAUUAGAUGGGUCUCGAUACUAAA